rnacentral:pre_miRNA from 1 species
AGUGCAAUUCCUGGGUGGUGUGGUAAUUGAUGUUUAAUUUUAUAUGAAACUUCCAAAUUAUUUUCCAGAGUGACUAUCCAUUUUACAUUUCUACCAGCAGU